CAUGAUAUUUUUAAAAAGAAUAUAAACUGAUGAACUUCUGAGUGACGGAAGUGUGCUAUAUUAAUGGCAGGACUUUCACUGACACCAGUAGAGCUUGCCUCUAUGACUGGAGUUGAUAGUGCUCUCUGCCACAUUC
rfam:Myotis davidii contig143223, whole genome shotgun sequence.